rnacentral:rRNA from 1 species
UACGAAGGGGGCUAGCGUUGUUCGGAAUUACUGGGCGUAAAGAGCGCGCAGGCGGUCGUUCAAGUCGCGUGUGAAAGCCCCCGCUCAACUGGGGAGGGUCACGCGAUACUGCUCGACUCGAAGGCAGGAGAGGGAAGUGGAAUUCCCGGGUGUAGUGGUGAAAUGCGUAGAUAUCGGGAGGAACACCAGUGGCGAAGGCGACUUCCUGCCUGUUCUUGACGCUGACGGCGCGAAAGCUAGGGUAGCAAACGGG